CUGUGGCUUCUGUAGAAAAAAAAUUCAUCUGCACAGGACCUGAGUGAAUGCAUGUGCCUCUGUUACUAUUUAGGAUAUGAGAGACUGUCUGUCUUUUUAAUUUCCUAGAAGUUAAAUGUUGGUUACUCAGUCAGUCCAUGUGAGACAAAGGAACCUGCCAAAGAAUUCACCCCACCUGCACUCGAAACCUGAUUUAGACUGGGACGAAUUACCCUUGAGAAUUGGCCACCCUUCCUCACUGGCUGUUACUGGAGCUAGGACAACUAGGUCAGGCAUGCUGUACCUCUUGUAGGUGCUUCAUGUCAGGUGAGAGCCCUAAUGACAGGCAUUUAAGCUUUAUCCACCAGUGAUCACAGUUGAAGAAAAUUCCUCAUGUGACUUCUGUGAAGCUAAAUGCUCAAUGUCACCACUUGACUGCCAAGUCCCUGUGUCAGCAUAUGGGAAACUGUGGGUAUCAAAAGAAAGUUUUGUUCCACAAGGACGAAACUCCCUAGUCAGAAAUAAAUUAUUCCUUUCAUUUGAAAUGUUCUGGUGAAUCCCAGAUUGUCAGGCUGAAGUAGAUGCCAAUUAGGAAGCUGCCAGCCCACACACUGAAAGUGGACCCCAUUAUAAGCCAAUGAAAACAAGGUCUUGCAAAGAAAGGUGCCAGGCAAUCUUGGGUUGGAACUCCUAUCAGUUCCACCUGCAGCUAACAAAAAAGCAUACAAAAGACGUACUAACAUUGAUUAUCUGAUUCAGGUGUUUGAUGGGGUAGCUUGCAAAUGCUUGCAAAUGCAUGAUAUGACUAUAACUUACAUAGAAAUCCCUAAAUACAUUGUUUCAAAAAUGAUAUGACAUUCAGAGAUCAUAUUUGGUGAAGUGCCCUGUACUUUCUCAAGCGACUCUUUUGUCUCAGGAGAUGGUAAAAUACUCAGAAUCUUACAGAUGGUUCCCAUUCAGACCAGCAAUUGAUAAUUGAGUCCAUUUAGUUAUCAAGGACAAUCAAAGCUAUGUUUUCCUGACUGGGUGGCCACCAAACAGAAAGAGAACAGUUUUUUGCUCAUAGCUUCAAGCUCUAUUCCCACUGGCCUUGCUGUUUGCUUGAGCUUUAUUUCAAGUGUUGGUUCUAGCUGUAACCUUGGCGUUUCUAACCCAGUCAUGAGAAUGCUGGGGAUAUGUGACAGCUUGUGCCUCCUGAUGCUAUUUCUGUAGCAGUAAUCAGACCUUUCUACAUUAUGAAUGUGGGAAAUAUCUUUUGUGUCUGUAAAUCCUUAGCACUUGCAUUGACCCAGAAGCUUUGCUCAUGGUGAAGAUGAAGAUUUUGCUCCUGUUGUAUAGAAUUAAAAAGUUUUCACUACAUAAACUGUAUUGCUAAGAUUGGAUUAAAGAUAAAAUGAUCAAUGGUGGAACAUAGCUGCCAGAUUCUUCCUGCCAGCUAUAGAUUAUGUGGCAUAGUGUGGCGGAUGACAGGCCCUAGGAGCCUGGGUCCUGCCUGUUUCAUUAAACAGUAUGAAGCCGGCUGUCAGCUAUUAGCAUGCAGAAUAUUAGCAGCACCAUACCUGUCAAAGAGGAAAAAAGGGCCUCCAUACAGCUAUAUCACUGUAAUCCAUUCCUCAGUUUACUGAACUGAAGCUUGAUAGGGGGUUUCUCAAAUGCAUGUGCUGCCCCAUGCUGUUAAGAGUUUUGUAUUUUCAUCUCAGAUUAUAUGGAAAGAUUUUAUGCUAGCUCCCUUUUGGUUCUGUAUCUGAAGUUGUUCAAAGGCAGAAGUUAUUUCUUCCAGAACUGAGUGUAAUUUGCACUCACCAUGUUGCCCCAGAGACACCUGUUUCAUGGUUUGGGGCCCUGGAGGUGGGUAGAAAUUCAUCCUUCCAUUUUGCUGACUCUGUGCCAUCAGAGGCAUCCCCUGCACCCCUGUGGUUUUCUGCUGUUGGCUUUUGAAUCUGGGCCUUGGCCAUUUGGUGCCUGGCCACAGCAUAGUGAAAUCUGGCUACAGCAAAGCUGAGGAAUAAGGCCAAAAUGUGGAUUAGGGAGGAUCCACUUGAUGACAGACUGUUGUAUGUGCUUUACAGGGGUGAGAUGGUUUUAUGAUAAGAAACAUUUGCAACUGAGAAAUAAAUGAAAUGUGCAAGAGCCAAGAUAUACUUUGGUAUCUUUCUGAAAUCUUCAGUACCAUAUAGCAACCAAUCCCCCUCUCUCCAGCCCCCCUCAUCUCUGUCCUUUGUAGACUGUUGGCUGAAGAUUCUAGAGCUAUCGAGAGGUCUUGACAGAGGUUAAAGCUGCUUGAACGCCUGGUCAGAUUUCCAUGUGCAAAUCUGGAAGGUUGGCAAAGGACAGUUUUGUGGAUAUUCUCUUCGUUCAGUUCAUUUAAUGACCCAAAACACAGUAGCACCGUAAAUGUAGAGAGGUCAUGCAAAAGUGUCUUUAUUUAGCCUCAGAGUUCAAAUUGCUCAUCUCCUACAGCUAUGUUUCACAUCUGCGGUUCUCACCCUCUGCAUCCAGGUGCUUGAACAGUGCCCUUUAAGAAACAGUAAAUGUAAUUAUCGGCCUUCUUAAACUACAGUAUAUAGCUGACAGCUCUCUUAUGGCUCUUCUGUAGUUCACUAGAAAACAUGAAAUUUACUCAGGAAUCCUAAAAUGCAGGAAGUUGGGUCAUAUAUUCUACAAAAUAAUAUAUGCCUGUUUUUCAUGGUUCCGUUAUCAUGUUUUGUUCAAAAAAUAUUGACUUAGAAGUGUGUAAGAUUGACUUAAUAGCAAACCAGCAAAACUAUUGAUAAACCCAGACAUCUGUCAUGGAGGUGAACCUUAUGGAACAUGCUAGGAGAAGAUAGACUUAACAUUUCCUUCAGGUUCUUAAAGUUGAAAUGUUUCCUCAUAAAUGGUGGAGCUAUCAACCCUUAGUAAGAUUUUGGUUGGUCUAAAAGGCUGAGCCUUAUUUUAUAUUAUAAGUUGCAAGUUUAGUUUUUCUGUUAUUUAUAUACAUUCUAUAAACUUCACUUACUAUGUCAACAUGUUUUUUCCAUCUUAACUGUUAUUUUUCUCAUGUAGUUUUAUUCCAAAUAAUUUGGAGAAGUGGGUAUUUAAGGAUAUACAGACUCUAUAUAUGUAUGCCUCUAUAGCCAGGUAGCUGGUUUUGUUAAAUGACUGUUAUAAUCUGUUGCUUUUCUUAGUAAGAUCUGAGGAUUCUGUAACUUUCCUGCACAGCAAGCAUAGAGCUUGAACAAGAAACCGUCUUGAAAACCUGACAUGGGUGAAACUUGAGUCCCUCCAAAAAGUGACCUCCAAAAAUUUCCCCAAGAUGUCUGGCAGAAACUCUGUAAUGAAAAAUAUCAGAUCUGGCAUUUGUGACAUCUUACCUUUGUGGGAUGCCAAGGAAAGCAACUGAAACACAAUUUUUCUAAAGUAAAGAAUGCAUCCACUGAGAGUCUUUUUUGGAAGAAAAUUUCCUUUCAUUUUUAUUUUGAGACUCAUUAUUUUCCAGGAUAUGAUGUUUCCUGACAAGUAGCUGAGAUGCUGUGAUAAUAUGACAACAGUAGUCCAAUGCUUUGGCAAACUUGUAAAAGCAAAGACGCAAAGACAUCAAAAAUUAAGCCCAAUUGUAAGACAAAUUCCCACAUUUUUUUCUACAAUAUAGACCCAAAUUUUAUCAAAAAGAAGGCCUAUGUUAAGAUACAGACUAAAAAGACAUGAGUUCUCUCACAAAACAACUUAGGUGCUUAAAAACUCGUCAACUAACCUUUAAAAAACUGUAUCUUAACCUACUUAGAGGAACAGUACUUGUGUCACUUGUAACUUGGGUGUACACGUCAAGUAAUCAGUAAGAACAAAACUAAAUAUUGGAGUGUGGGCUGUCUGCGUGGUGACAGCAUGGAAAACCAUGAGUCAGCUGCUAGAGCCAUUUACCAUUAGUCUAUCUCAUGUGAGAUUUUAAUGUUGAAUCACUCAGAACUGUGACUCUCAGGGUGAGUUCUGGCCUGAAUGGAGUCAGAACUAGUCUUUGUUAAACUACAAAUUUACACAUUUGGACAAGCUGUUUUGUUGUGUGAAUGUAAAUGCUCUGGAAAGAGACACAUGUGUUGGGUCUGACCUUUUAUAAUAUGAGGAACGGGCAGACCUCAGCAUGUUCUGCAGCUAAAUAAAGCAGGACAUCCAACUCAUUUCUAGAUUCAGAAGUCACAUUCAGGUUCAGCUAGAUAGCAAAAUUUUUAGAUUUGCCCAUAUUUAGUAUAAAUAUUUCCAUGUAAUUUUAUGUAAUUUUAUUAUAAUUUUCUGUUUCAAAGCAAGCCAAAGCAAAUCACUGCAAGGGUGUCUCUGUGACAAAUGCACCCAAAGUCCACAAAUUAAAAAUCUUUUCAAGAAGAAAAGUAACCCGAACAUGAGUUUCUGUGCAGAAGGGUUUUUUAGUGCUCUUAAUGUCCAAAGGCAGUAGUUCACAUUAUGAACUAAUGGCCUGUGAAAUGUCAUUUAAAAAUAAAAGAUGUGUUUGAGUCAGUGGAAUAACAACAUCUUUGACUGUCCUGUUUUUUCCCCAGUGUUUUGAAAGUCAUUUAAUUUUUUCUUCUAUGUUUUUACUGAAUGAUACUUGAUCUCAGGCUAAAAAAGGACAGGUUUAAUUACAGACCAUAGCUCUUUUUGUCUCAAUUCACACAAUUUUGACAACAGUGUUUUAAAUGCAGGGACUCUAGCACAGCUUAAUUGAAAUUCUGAUGAUGUUUUUUGCACUAAUUGAUACCCAUGUUGGCAGACUGAGCUCAGCGACCCAGGAAUGAAUGGACAGGAAGAAUGAGACUAUCAGCUUAGCCUUGCAGGUGGUCUUUCCUGAUCAAGAUUAAAGAACACUGGCAGGGCACUGCAGGAAAGCCAGCACCGUUGAUACCCUGUGCUAUUCUCAUUUUGUAUUUAAGCACAGGAUUUCAGUGUUCAGGCUGAGAUUUUCAGUCUGGUUCCAUUUGCAGUAGUAAUAAUAAUAAUAAUACCUAAAAAAGACUGAGAAAUGACUUGAUUACACCGUGUAAGGAGGUUGGCAAGGAGAAAAUACCAGGUACAAAAGAGGCCUUUAAUCUUGCAGCAAAAAGAAUAGGUGAAAACUCAUGAUUUGGCCUGAGUUUAGCAUGAAUUCAAAUUAGUAUGAGAUACAGAUUAAUAACAGGUUAGAAGUAAGGUGUUAAUAAGCUCUGGAUCAAAAUUCCAAGGAUAUGUUAGAUUUUGCAUCCUUCAAAGUUCUCAGACAGCGUUCUAACACAGGGUCUUGAGCUCAGCACAAAGGAAACUGGCAGGAUAAACCAUGGCCUACAAUAUGCAGGAGAUCAGACUAGUCUGUUCUUUACCUUAAAGGCUAUUAAUCCUGUUAAUACUUACUUCUUACACAGUGUUUUCAUCAAAGAAUUUAAGAAAGCAGAUCAGCAGCAGUAUUCCCAUUGUAUGGAUAUGGGGACUAUGUCUCAGGGAGGUUAAAUCACUUGUCAUAAGACAUUUCAGAAGCCAACGGCAGAAAGAGUAAGACACAGCCUGUUUGGCAAAUUCUGCCUUCUCAACUGAACGCAGUGAUCUACAGAAAAAAAAAUCUCACAGAUACAGUUCAUUUCAUUUCAUAUUUAAAAACAAAGGAAAAGACUAAUAUUUGACAAUUGAAAACAAAAUAUAACAGAACAUUAGAUUAGACUAGCCUAAUGAUCUCCUCUCCCUGUGUCUCUAGGAUGCACAUAGGACUCUCUGAAAGGUUAGUUAGUAAGUGAAGAAACAUAGCUGAAACCUUAUUUCAGUAAUUUCAGAAGCCUACCUAUAGAAAGCCAUUUUGAAGGCAAUCUUAUCCCAUUUGCCAAAUGUUUGCAUGAGGAACUUCUAUUUAUUUUUUAAAUUAAAGAGCAUAGCAAUAAGUGGCCUAGGGUUAGGGCAGCAACACCAGCAGUUUACCUUGAUAGGAAGAGGCUUUGUUGGAACUGCAGGGCUGAAAUAGCUGACAGGGCACUUAAUCUGGCUUUGUGAUAAUUGAAAAUGAGAUGGCCUAUUGGCCUGGGAUGUGCAUUUGGUUUUUAUGGAGCUGCACCAAAUCAGAUCUUAAGGUGGAAACUAUAAAUGGCUUUUGUACAUCUGUGCCAGACUAUUUCUUGCAGCUUUUAAUUUCACAAGGUAGAGCAAGUACAAGUAUAAAUCUCAUCCUGAAACCUGGCAAAUUUCUGUUGAUUACAGACUAUGCAAUAUCAUAUGUAAACAAAGGGAGACAAGAUUUUAAAAAAUAUAUAAGCAUUUUGAAAUAUUGCAAUAUUGUUGUUUAUAUUAAGUUAACUAUCUCUCCUGCGCGGAGUAGACAACUGCCAAGAUUUUUGUGUGUGACAGGCUGUGCCAACAUUUAAAUUCAGAUGCUCCAAAAUCCUGGGAGGAGAAGGGAAAAAAAAAAGACAUUUGGAAUGAAUACAUAGUACAGCCCAUCCUCUAUAACAUAGUGAAAUGUUCUCUGGUAACCAAAUUUGAUCAGCUAGCAGUUCUGAAUGCACUAUUACAUUCAUCACUGAUGUUUAUUAAUAUUAUAUUUCUGUGGCAAUAAAUCCAGGUUAUUGUUAAAGUGAUAUUGUUUGUGUGAACUAAGGUUCAUUGACCUAGAAUUAGGUUUAAGAAUAAGCUCUUUUCCUAAGACUAAGUGUCUUGCACAAAUGUAGGCUGAUGUACAUUUUCACAAAGGUGCAUAGGUAUAAAUUUGAAUUUAAAUCUCUCUACUGUACCUGCUGAUCAUAGAUAGCUGAACUCUUUUUAAACACAAUUAAAUCCCAUUGUUAUCAACUGUCUGCAGCUUGAAGAGCUCACAGUAAGGCACAGCACCUUCAGAGCUGAACAGAUACUACUUAUGCUUAGUUUGCUUUUUCUGGUAGGUUUGGAAUGGUCCUAGUGCAGGGUUUGUUUUGCUCCUGCAUAUGCACAUGUCAGCAGAAGGGUGAGACACCAUUGGAAGAAUCACUGGCAGGAGAAGAGGAAACUGGGAGCAGGUUUUGACCAGCUGAGUCCUCCCCAUAGGAUCUAAAACAGACAGAGUGAAAUGAGAGCUUGUAGUUCUCCUACAGCCAUGUUUGAAGAUCCAGGUCACUUGCCUGAAGGAUUGAUCAGCUGGACAUUUGCCCAUGAUAUAGAGCAGGGGAUCAGAGAAAGAAGGAAGUUCUAGAGGAACACAGUCAGGAUUUAGAAAGUUUCUGGAGUGCUCAUAUUCUGUAGUUUGUAUGCUGCUGGUAAGCUUAUCGUGUAGGACAAUAGCAAUGUGAUUAAGUCACGUGAAUAUUUGAUUACAGUUAGAAUGGAUUCACUCUACUUUUCAUGUUUAAAAAAUGCUGCUGCCUUUCUUGUGGGUGGGUGCUGUUUUCAUUUACAUUUAGAUGGUGCCAGAACAUCCAAAUGCAGCAGCACAAUUGUAUCAUCAUUCUGAUUCAAAAGUCAAUGGCCCUCUGAGAACCAUACAGGAGCUCAUACAUCAACAGGAUGGCGAACAGGAAUAUAAAGUGUACUGGUGGGAUAUUGCACAUGCUGAGCCUGAUUCUCCUCUCAUCUAUGCUGUUAAAACACAGGAGUAACAGCGCUGAAAUCAACACUGUUAUACUGGUGCAAGUAAAGGAAGAUUCAGGCUUUCUAUGUGUCAAAUUCUUUGAUCAUCUGAGUGUGGAAAGGAGAGCCCUCUAAAAUGCUUUGGAAGCUGCCUUCACCUAAAAUGCUCAGCUGAACCAGUGCUUCAAAAAUGAUGUUUCCUUGUGUUCUUUGAAGCACUUAGUCAGCUAAAUCAUUUGAAAUACACUAUUACAGAGGCUGCCAGUGUCACCAGUAGAGCCCACAUUGCUUUAGAACAUCCCCUAUGAAUCUUGUUUUGAGUAUUUUCUGUAGUAACUCAACCGUUUUAAUUUGCUUUGGACGGAGGCACAGCAAGUUUGCAGCCUUUGUAAAUUCUCACUAAACAUGCAUGGAAGUCUGUUUAGCUGUGUUUGUUUGUUUCUUUCUUAAAUUUAAAAAAUCAGAUCAAUUUUUUUUGAUCUUCUAGCUGAAUAUGUAUGUAAUGACAUGAAAAAUACCUUUCUUAUUUUGAAUGUUGAGGUAGACAUUAAAAUAGCUAACACUAUAAACCUAGAAUAAAAAUAAAUAAAUCUGUGAAGUAGAUACACAUUUUCAUCUACUCUUUCCCCUUCCUAGAAAUCUCACAACAUUUUAUCUACAGAUCAGACCAAAUAUCCUUUUCUCAGCUUUUGUGUUCAAGACAAACAACUAAAACUUGGUUCGUACCUUAAUUCUGCAUAUGUAAUCUUUCCUAUAGUCUUCCGAAGACAUAGUGGAUUUCAACCGUUCCCUUCUAACAGACGGUGAAAUUGAGAGGGGAAAGUUUUGUAAAUUUUAGGAGACCUGGACGUGAAAAUCUUGUUGUCCAGAAAACAAAUCCCCUAAUGAUUAGGACAAGAUUGAAAGAAGGCCCACAGUUUGCAUGAAAGAUGGAAGACUUUUUCAUAUAUCAGAUUUUCAGUGUGACUUUCUUGGGAAUGUUACAGUUUUCUUAAGAGACUUCUUAUUUCACCAAGUGCACAGAGGCAUCAAAGAAAGACGAGUUUAUGACACCAAUGAAGAAAAUUGUAGUUGCUUAUCAUAUUUUAAGUCAGCAAAAAAAAUCUGUGUACAUGUUACAGUAAGUUAGACUUUUUCUCUGUAUUCUGUGAUUUAUUUUAUGUUGGUUUUUUUUUGUUUGUUUGUUUGUUUGUUUGUUUGUUUGUUUUUAAACGUGGAAGAAGCCCCUGAAUAUGGAAGAGACUGAUACAUUUCUUUCCUUGUGACAGUCUUGUACUUUGGCUCACUUUUUCUUUCUGAAUCAUGCUUUUGACACAUUUGCUAUGUCUGUUGUUUACAUGCUAAAAAUGGUGCUGGUGUUGCAACCUGCUUUUCUGGUCCACCAGCAUACUUCUUCUCACACAUGCGUGAUAACCCCUAGAAUUACUCACUCAUAAGAAAAGCUGCCCAGGCUGGCAGGCAGAAGAAUAUUGAUCUGAGGACAUCCACAUUGUUGUAUUGCAUAGUAAAUAGGUUGGUUAAGGACUCUUUUCAACAGCUGUAGCUUGAUCUGGGGUAAUGGUGAUACCCCCUGCCCUUUCCCUCAAGUACUAGAGGGAGAUCCAAAAUCAAACCGGUGCUGAAGAUGUCUCCUGGCCUUGAGUGCAGUUCAAUAUAGAGGCUGGAGUCCCUAACUGUGGAAUGGUCUUUGUUGGUAUGCAUAUUAUGAUUGGUUUAUAUUUUAUAUUAGAUAUACUUCAUAUUAUGAAGUUUUUCCAUUUGUUAAUGUUUUGCUAGAUUUUAAGUACACAGGUUGAAAUUUUCCCUAAUAGGUAUUUGUUUCAGCAGAUUUAUUUCCUUUUAUUUUCUCUUUCUCUUGAAACUCCUUUCAAAGUAUUUGUGGUUAUUUUCAGUAAGCUGCUUUGAAAAGCAGCAGAAGUACCCUUUGAACCCUAUACAAGAAAACAGGACAUUUCUGCUACUUUUUCAAGAGCUUGAGCAUCCCUCUGCUUUGGAGCAGGGCAUUUAGCAGAAAGGAUCUUUCUGUGCCUCUUGCCAGCUUUGUGUUUGGCCCAUUUGUGUGCCUUUGGAAAACUGCAGUUUGCACAGUCGCACAUAGUUGGCAGAGAAAGCUUAGAUUUCACCAGCAGUGUGGCUACUGAAGAACCUGGGGCUGUUGUGGGGUUUGCUUCCAGUUACAGCUGUGGGCUGGGAACUCAAAGGGUUUGUCCCUACGUGCUCUCAAGGAACCUUUGCUGAGCAUGGGUGCAUGGGAUGCAACUGUUUUGGAUAAGUGCUGUGAAUGGAGAGAGGGACCAGUGUCAUCAGAGAGAUGAACAAAGCACCGAUCUGAGCGCCUCCAUCUGCACCAGUAGAAGAGCUGGAGCUGCUGGGACUGGCCAGGCAAAUGCAUAAGGGGGACAUGGGGAGCAUUGAUAAAAAUUCUUGGAUUUCCUGCUUUUGACAAACCUGAGUUCCAGUACUCUGCUCUUAAUCAGAGGUUUCAACACACUGACUGUCUUGUAGGAGACCCAAAAAUAUUAUCUCGUGCAUGGAAGCCAAACAACAUUUGUGAAAGAACCAUAAUGUGGCUUGUAAAGUCUCAUGCAAAAUAUAUCAACCUUCAUAACUGCCUGUUUGAGUAAUAUUCUUGAAACUAAAGCUAUUGUUUUGUUUUGUAAGUAUUUACUUUUACUUUGCAACUUUGUGUAUCAGUAGCAACAUUUAGUGUUUUGUUUCAUCUUUAUAAGAUACAAAAUAAAUGCAUGCUACCUUUUACCAUGUCAGGAUUUGAACACCUUCAUUACAAUUACUAAUACACUGUUGCACUCUCUGGUUGUUAAUAGAAUUUUCUUAAUGUUUACAUCAAAACCUUUGCAGAAAUUUGUUGCUGAUUUUUUUGAUUCAUAUAUCAGGGACCAAAUCCUUAUCUUAGAAAGUAUGGUACCAACAAAAUCCACACAAGUUGAUUUUUUUUGUUUUUUGUUCCAAAUGUUUUAAAAUUUAUCCAGAAGUGAUGUAAGAGAGAGCAGCUUGUCUCGUUUGCAAAUCGAAAUAUUUAGAAAAGAUUAUUCCCAUUCUGUAUUGACGUAUCUGCGACACUGAAAUUCGUUCAAUAGUUAAAGAACACUGGAAUCAGUCCUGUUGGGGUUCUGCUUUUUUCUACUUUAAUUUGUCUGAAAUCAUCGUCUGCUUAGUGAUUAAAUAAUAAGUAUUAUGUAUUAAAUAUUGGGAGCCAAACUUGCUGCUUAGAGAAGUGAGAAUCCAGCAUACUCCAUCCCAGAGUGAUUACUCUAGAUACAGGCUGAUUUAAGUCAGAAGAAAUAAAAUGGUAGUUAUGUAUGAAUAUUUUGUUUGUCAGUGGUGUGUCAGUGUUCAGUAUUUGUGUAUGUAUGUGUGUAUAUAUAUAUAAAAGCACUUUUUGGUAAAAUAGUGAUUUAUGUUUUACUAACUAAUGCUAUGAGUCCAAAGUAUUUCUUUGAUUGUGACCUUUAAUAUAAUUUUUUCCAAUCUGCUGUUUAGCAGCUGACUUUAACGUAUUUCAAAUAGAGCUAUUUAAUACAGCCCAUUAUAAUUUUCCAGCCUCAUCAUAAUCUAUUUUUCUAACAGGGUCACCUUUAACACAUGAUGAGAUGAAUGUAUUUUAUUAACAUCUAUUCUUUUUAUAAGGGUGUCUGAUUGAAAGCUGCAUUUUUUUUAAUCCACAAGGUUUUUUAAAAAAAAAAUCAUAUACAACUUUGAAAAAUUCAAAAAUGCGUUAUUCUUAGGUAAAAGUAUACUCUCUUUUGCCAGUUGUCUUCUGUCUUGAAUAAUAUUUUGUAAUCUUCUACUGACAAGUGACUCUAAAAGACGUCUAAUCUGUCUUUAGACACAGCAUAUAGCUGCAGUUUGGUAUAAUAUCUCUUUUUGCUGCAAAAGGCAUUUAAAUACUUUCUCCAUAAUUUAAAUGUACUGUGCAGUUUUUUCAUUUUGGGGAGGCAAAAAAAAAAAAUAGAAGAGGCAAUUGAGAGUUCCAGUGCUGGGGGCUGUCUGUUAAUCUUCUUCCAUUGUUUUAUUUACAUAGAUUUAUGAAAUCCCAAAAGAAUUAUAUUUGUUUGUAUGUAGUGCUGUUACUUUGAUAUAAGAAGGAAGCAGUGGCUCUGCCCCUCAUACACAAACUUGUCAAAAUGUUUAUUAAAUUUCAAGCUUAUUUGUUUAAUCUUUUAGACAACAAUAGGAACACAGAAAGCUGAUCAACAGGACUUUUGUUUUGACCAAACUCUAAAAAUAUAGAUUUUUUUUUUUUAAUCUGGAAGAAGGUUUAUUUCUGGUCUGCUCUGACAGAAGGGUGAUAGGUUUCUAUCUCUUAGUCUAAUUAAUACCUCUAAUCUUUUUUAAUGGUUAAACAGUCUCCCUUUGGUUGCAAGGCAGAGAAGAGAUAAAGGCACAUAAGGCUGAGGGUUAAUCCCUGUAUUUUAUUUCUUAAUUUCUGCUAUAGGGAUUCCCUUUCCAUCAUUUCUGUUUACUUUUAAGCCCUCUUCAGAUGCUGGGAGAAGGACACAACAAAAAGUUUGAUUAGGGCUAUCACUCAAGAUUAGACAGACAUUAAACUUUUUGGAAUUUAAUAAGAAAUAAUUGUUAGCUGAACAAAUGGGCUAAUCUGGUUAUACAUCCCCUUUUUAUUAUAAUGCCUGAGAAGCAAACAAAAAAAAUACUUUUAUGUGGAUGGUUUUGUUCAGCUAGUGCUCUCUGCCUUGCAUUAUUCCAGAAGAGAUUGUAUGUGAAAUGCAAAACCACAAACAAUUAUGGAUAAAAAAUAUUAGGCAGCCAGAUUAGGAAAAUAUUGUAUGCUUUACACUGAUUUCUACCAGUGUCUUAGGUCACUUCAUGGACAAAAUCUAACACCAAUGUUAUGUUAAGUAUGAAAUUAAAAAGGCACAGAACAUUAAUGGCAUUUCAUUUAAUAUGCUCUCACCUUAGAAGUAUGAGGUUAGAUUUUCAUUUAAGUAAAUUACAAGUUGGUUUAAAGGACGUUCUGAGAAAAAAAAAUAAAAACAUAUAUAUGUAUAGGAAGAAUUGUGGGAAUUUUUACCACUGAUAGUGGUGUGGGUCAGAUUUUUGCCAUGUUGCUUCUGAAAAACAAAACAAAACAACUGAGUUAUUUUGUUGUGAUAGCUUACAAAAGUAUGUUGGAGGUGGAUACAUUGUACUUCAAAGGUUGUAAGUACUAUCACAGGAACAGCUUGAUGAUAAAAAUCAUCUUUUCUUGACUCUUCCAUUUAGAAUUUUAAUGUGUUUAAGUGAACUGUAGAUGUGGGAGUAUUCUGCAAAUAAGAUUAGAAGCUCUGAUGUAACCCUUCCAAAGAGAUUAUAAGAUUUAGGAUUUGGGCUCAGACAUGUACAUGUCCUCAGAUGAGACUUUAAAAAAAUUGGAUUUGUUGUUUAUAUUUUCCUUUGUAUAGAAAGAAAUACUGUCUUCUUCAUUAAGUGAUGCUUGUAUACUAGAGAACCUUGAAUAAAUGUGUUUCCACUUGCCAUUGAACUGAUAUAGACUAUUCUGAAGAGGAAUUCUCUAAGUAAAAACACAAAUCCAAAGACCACAAGCUAGAGAUAUAAAAGUCAAACAAAAGCAGAUAGUACCUACAAUUUUUAUAUGAAGUUGUGGGGUUUUUUUUUGUGCUUUGGAAAGUCACAACACCUUUAUAAAGAGUCACUCUUUUUUUGUGUGUGCAACAUACUUGUUUAGUUCAGUGCCAGCAUAAAACAAAAGCAGUAAAUGUCAAUAUUGCCACUGUGCCUGCAAUAUUAGUUUUCCUCGCUGUGGGGUGCAGCUUAGCUCAGCCAUGCUCUUGCCUGUUGGGACCUGUGUAUUCCCAGUACACUCAGCAGCCACAUUGGAUUUACAGGAUGAGAACUUCCUACCAUUCACCACCUCUCCCACCAAAAAGCCCUUUCCAUGAUACAGUGCUUUCUGCUGGCGACACUUUGUGAUGUUGAUGUGAGGUUGCUCCCAUCUAGGUAACAGCCAUGCAGAAUGGUCAGCAGAUUAACAGAGGUGGCAGGGAAAGAGGGAAUUUGGGAUUCUCCUUGUCAUUUACUACGUGCUGCAUAGAUGAAAUAGGGCAACAUAUAUAGUAGUGUUGUUGCUACACAGACAAAACAAGGUUUGUAAAGAAAGGUGGCGUCUUUUGGUUGACAUUUUAGAAGAAAACAUACAAGUUCUACGGCACAGAAGUCCUUCUUCAUGCCACAUUUAUAAAAUAUCUCUGAAUGAUUUAUAGUAUGGAGACUAAUAAACUAAACACUGGAUUUAAAGGUCUGGUUUUUAGCUGAAUAUCCCGUAACAUACAAGGUACUUCUACAAAGGGUUUAUAAAUUGUUAUACUUUGUGCCCCUCAACUGCUUAAAAUUUUAAGUACAUGUGCAAUUGCUUUCCUGAAAUGGAUGCAAAGUCCUCAAAUCUGGCAUGAACAAACCCUAAACUGUCAAUUAUUCUAACUCAUAUGAUUCACCAUGACUUAAAAAACUGAAAGAAUUAUAAUUAGUGGUGCCAAAAAUGUUACACUUUUUUUUAUUGGUUGAUAGAAUUACUGCUAGAUGGCAGAAAAUAGUAGAGUGACUGAAAAUGUUUAGGCUUUUUCCUCUGUUUCAUACUAUUGAUUUUCAGCUCUGCUCUAAAUUAUUCAAGCUGAACAGCAGUUAAGCCAACGGAUGGUAUUUUAAAAUAGAACUAGGAGAAUGGGUUUUCAUUCCUCUCCAAGUUUUGGUAGAAGAAGUAGCAUUUUAACAGAAAAGAGGAACAGGUCCAAAUAACCUGAGGGUGUUCAGUGUUAAGAGAUAAUAUGUACUCCUGGGUUAGCCCAGAAGACCAAAGAAUUCUUGAGUUACUGAUUUAAAACAAAUCACACAGUAGCUGUGCUGAUGUCACGGAUGCUGGGAGUAAUGAGACUAUUGAAGCUGAGAGUAUUCUGGACUGAAAGGAACCUCAGCAGGCAGGUCUUCCCAACAGACACCUCCAUGGGCUGUAGAAAUCAGGAGGAUGUGGUUUGGAACUAUGUUUGGAUCUCCGGUAGCUUUGUCUCUGUUGCCUGCUGAAGUAUGAACCUUCACAAGGCCUGAAAUUCUAUUAAAAUGAAAUGGGUUUGAGGGGUUUUCCAGCAUGCUCUUCUUUGUAGAAUUCCAUGACUCAUUUUGUCAUAAGGAAGGUGAAAAAGCUUGAGUCAACAAACUUGUUAAUUUCUAAGGUGCUAUUGUAUUUUCCUCUGUGCUCAGUCCACUUCCAUCUGUUGUCAUAUCUUAUACUUCAGCAGUACAAUCUUUAUAGCAGGGGAUGUUGCAAUGAGGCAUCUACUACAAGAAACACCUAAUUUAUUACUGAGACAGCUAGGUACUAUAGUAAUACAAAUAAUUAGCAUUAAAUGGCCUUUAAUGAGGGAUUUAAAAGAGAAGAGUGUAUUGCCUUUAUAGACUAGUUCAUUAGAUGUGAAUGUAUGUUAAAAAGUCCAUUUUGAUUUAGUGCUUCAUAAAUAAGAGUGUCUUGUCAUAGAGGAAAGGGGCAAUGAUUCUUUUCUCAUUGUGGCCUCACCUCAUUAUCAGGAAGAUAUUGGCAAAUACUGAGAGCAGUAGCAGAAAAGUCACGCGAUUAUUUCUAACCCACCCAUGUCUUCAAAAUUGCCUUCCUACAUAUUUUUUUAAGAAUGGUUGGUUGAUAUUUCAAACCUGUGCCUUGAUUCUGCUUCUCUAGGCAGAAACAUGCUGGUGAGCUCUUACUUUAUUUCUGCAACUGGUCCUUUGAAGGAAAGAUUUCUAAUUUUACCUCCACAAUCUUAAUAGAAAUAAAUUAAAAAUUGAAAAGGGGACCGGGGAAAUAGUCUCAGUUAUGGUGAUAUGCUGAAAGACCUAAAAAUGUAUAAUUUAACUGCAAGAUGAUACUAGCCUACAAUAUUCAGAGGGUCAGUCCUUCACAAGAAAUUAUUUAGUGCACUAGAAUUAGGUGUAGUGACGUAAAAUACAGUCUGAAUACAUGUAAAACGUCCUGACUGGUAAGUCUAUUUGCCUUUGGCAUAGUUACAAGAGAAGUGACAGAAGCCCAGGGCUUGAUAAUUAAAUGUUACACUGGAAAUUUUUUUAUAGGAAAUGAUUCUGCCUCAGUUUGGGAAUAAACCAGGUUAUCUGAUGAGACAUUUUUCAAUCUGUAGAAUACCUGUUCACAAAGCAAUUUUCUUUUACAGUAAAAGAAAUAUCUCUUUUCUAGGCAGCUUUGGAACAAUUGCUGGCUCUCUUUUGGUGAUACUCUUGGGAUCAAAGGUUUCUCAUGUGUUACCACAACAUUAACAUUAUCAUUUGCUAAUCUCUGUAAGUUAACUGUCAAAUGUACAAAAAGAUCUAAUAUAUAUCACCUACCAUAACUUUAUUAGGGCAGUGAAUUCACAGCCAGGUCUGAUAUAAAUUUGUAAGCUAAAUCAAACAUGUAAAUCAAACAUGUUAAUUAAAUAUGAGGAAAAGAAAGGAUCACCAAAUAUUUUUUUUUUGUUGAUUGAAAAAUCUUGAAGUAUCUUGAUGAAAGAAAGAUAGCUAGAGCAAAAUUUCCAUUCAUAAACAUACAUCCACUAUUUUGCUAUCUUCUUUAUCUACAGGGUAUUUUAAAAAUGAAUUAGAUGCUGAAGCAAUUAAGCUAUAAAGUAGUAUUUUCUAAACCACUCAUCAAGUAAUCCCAGUCUUAAAAAGAUAAUUGUCAAUAACACAAUAAACAUUUAUAGCCUGUGUAUGCCCCUUAUGAAAAGUGCUUUCCUGUUGUCAUGUUGACUUUCCAGGGAAAGUGUGCUUUGCCCAAAUCCUGUUGUAUAUAUUGUCCUUUGCUACAGAUGCUUUAUCUAUACACAAUAAACAGGCAAAUUUUAUCCAGAAAGCCUUUUUGGGUUCUGGAGAAGUACUAAUUUACACUUUACUCAUAUGAACUGAGUUUUCCCCAUAGCUUAGAUUCUGCAUGAAAGCUAGAAACAUUGUGAUGCUGAUUCAUUUUUUGGAAGUAUUUAUUCUGAAAAAUAACAUACUGUAAGAUAGCUUUGAGUGACACUGUUGUGCUCCCCCUGAGUAAAAUUCUUUCAGAUAAAUCCGGUUGUCAAUUUUGUUAUUGUAAAAGGCUCAAGUUUUUGACUGCAUCUAUUUGUUUGUUAUUGAAUGUGAACAGCAAUGUAUAGGGAUGAAGUUUUAUUAAAGGAAGAAUUUAAAGUAGACACGGUUUGAUAAAUAUGGGAGAUAUAUGUGCUUUUUUUAGGAAUAUGACCUCAGGGAUUUUCUGGCUUUUCUUUCAGCUUAUAGCACCAAUAAUAUUUUGGAAAAGAAUGGACCAUUUCUUGAAGUCACCAGGCUACACUGACAUUUUCAUCUCAGCUUCUUUUUCUGAAGAAAACUUCUUUCAUUAGAGUAUCCUGCGUGUGCAAGGAAGGUUACAACGCCAGCUGUAGUUAUGAAACAUAACAGAGAAAGAAGCAGCUAGGUUUGGUCAAUAGCAGAAGUUUUGCUGUCCAUCUUUCCUGCCACCUCCCAUCCAAACCAUUUCUCCACUAUACAUACUCUUCAAAAUAUCUCACAGAAAGAGAGAUGCUCUUUCUCAAAAAGCUAAUCCCUUACAUCUUCACAGUGCCAGCAUGAUUUCUUAAAUACCAAAUGUGUAUUUAUCCAAUGUUCUGAACAGAAAAAGUUCCCUAGUAUCUAAAUUCUGAAUCAAUGUGGAGAUCUUAGCACCAUUAGUAAUAUUAAACAGACUUUCUGCCCCUAAAUACUUUCUCACUCACCUUAUCCCACAUAUGCCCUGCCUAUGUAGAGCACUGCCACUGCCAUGAAGGCCAGGGUACUGAUGGUUUGACUGCUCAAGAAGGUCAGGAAAAUACCUUGUCUUUCUUCACAGACAUCUAGAAACUCUCAGUAUGAGCAUUUCAGAUCUGAACAGACAUGGCAACAAAAUAGCUAGAAUGGUCUACUCUUAAGCGAUCAUAGUUUGGAUUGCUCUGGGCAUCGCAGACCACUUGUCGUGUGGUGCAGAUAACAGGGACAGAGCAGUUCAACCCAAGAUGGAGGUGUGACAUUUCUGAGUGGUUGUCAGAGCACUCAGAGAAGGGACUGCAAUAAUCCAUGUGCAAGACAUUAAAGCACAGCCAGGUACAGAAAAGUCCACACUGAAAGGAAAAAAAAUGACCAUUAUAAUUGUCUAUAAUUCACACAGUGAAGCUUAUCAGAAGGUAUUUGUGUGUCAGUGAUGAGACUUCCUUAGCAAAAUGUAUAUAUUUACUUUGUAAAUUAACCAGAGAAUGUGUAAUUUAUUUCUUUUGCUACUUCUUCAUUAAGCCAUAGUAUUGAACUGAAUUACAUUUGCUAUAAAGCUUGUUCCGUAAUUUAUUUCCAAAUUUAAGGAAAGCAUCUCUGUUUCAUACUUUAAAUGGAUUAAGCCUGUUACUACAAAUAUAGUUGAUUAGGAAUGCUGUCUAAGAGUCUGAAUUUAAAAUGGAAUUAAAUGUGUUAUAACUUUAAAAA